rnacentral:rRNA from 1 species
GACGAACGCUGGCGGCGUGCUUAACACAUGCAAGUCGAACGGAAAGGCCCUGCUUUUGUGGGGUGCUCGAGUGGCGAACGGGUGAGUAACACGUGAGUAACCUGCCCUUGACUUUGGGAUAACUUCAGGAAACUGGGGCUAAUACCGGAUAGGAGCUCCUGCUGCAUGGUGGGGGUUGGAAAGUUUCGGCGGUUGGGGAUGGACUCGCGGCUUAUCAGCUUGUUUGUGGGGUAGUGGCUUACCAAGGCUUUGACGGGUAGCCGGCCUGAGAGGGUGACCGGCCAAAUUGGGACUGAGAGACGGCACAGACUCCUACGGGAGGCAGCAGUGGGGAAUAUUGCACAAUGGGCGGAAGCCUGAUGCAGAAACGCAGCGUGCGGGAUGACGGCCUUCGGGUUGUAAACCGCUUUCGCAUGUGACGAAGCGUGAGUGACGGUAAUGGGUAAAGAAGCACCGGCUAACUACGUG